CGGACGGGUGAGUAGCGCGUGGGGAACCUGCCCUGUACAGGGGGAUAACACUUAGAAAUAGGUGCUAAUACCGCAUAAGCGCACAGUAUCGCAUGAUACAGUGUGAAAAACUCCGGUGGUACAGGAUGGACCCGCGUCUGAUUAGCUGGUUGGCGGGGUAACGGCCCACCAAGGCGACGACCAGUAGCCGGCCUGAGAGGGUGAACGGCCACAUUGGGACUGAGACACGGCCCAAACUCCUACGGAAGGCAGCAG
rnacentral:rRNA from 1 species